rnacentral:rRNA from 1 species
AUUGAACGCUGGCGGCAUGCCUUACACAUGCAAGUCGAGCGCGAAAGGGGCAACCCGAGUAGAGCGGCGGACGGGUGAGUAACACAUCGGAACGUGCCCAGUAGUGGGGACGAACCUCGAGAAAUCGAGGCUAAUACCGCAUACGACCCACGGGUGAAAGCGGGGACCGCAAGGCCUCGCGCUAUUGGAGCGGCCGAUGUCCGAUUAGCUAGUUGGCGGGGUAANAGCCCACCAAGGCGACGAUCGGUAGCUGGUCUGAGAGGACGACCAGCCACACUGGGACUGAGACACGGCCCAGACUCCUACGGAGGCAGCAGUGGGGAAUUUGGACAAUGGGGGCAACCCUGAUCCAGCCAUGCCGCGUGCGGGAAGAAGGCCUUCGGUUGU